rnacentral:rRNA from 1 species
AACGGAGGCGCUCAAAGGUUCCCUCAGAAUGGUUGGAAAUCAUUCAUAGAGUGUAAAGGCAUAAGGGAGCUUGACUGCGAGACCUACAAGUCGAGCAGGGUCGAAAGACGGACUUAGUGAUCCGGUGGUUCCGCAUGGAAGGGCCAUCGCUCAACGGAUAAAAGCUACCCCGGGGAUAACAGGCUUAUCUCCCCCAAGAGUUCACAUCGACGGGGAGGUUUGGCACCUCGAUGUCGGCUCAUCGCAUCCUGGGGCUGUAGUCGGUCCCAAGGGUUGGGCUGUUCGCCCAUUAAAGCGGUACGCGAGCUGGGUUCAGAACGUCGUGAGACAGUUCGGUCCCUAUCCGUCGUGGGCGUAGGAAAUUUGAGAGGAGCUGUCCUUAGUACGAGAGGACCGGGAUGGACAUACCUCUGGUGUACCAGUUGUCGUGCCAACGGCAUAGCUGGGUAGCUAUGUAUGGACGGGAUAAGUGCUGAAAGCAUCUAAGCAUGAAGCCCCCCUCAAGAUGAGAUUUCCCAACUUCGGUUAUAAGAUCCCUCAAAGAUGAUGAGGUUAAUAGGUUCGAGGUGGAAGCGUGGCGACACGUGGAGCUGACGAAUACUAAUCGAUCGAAGACUUAAUCAAA